UACAGGCUUAACACAUGCAAGUCCCCGUGCAGCAUUUCAGUUUGCUUGCAAACUGGAGAUGGCGACCGGCGCACGGGUGAGUAACACGUAUCCAACCUGCCGAUAACUCGGGGAUAGCCUUUCGAAAGAAAGAUUAAUACCCGAUGGUAUAAUCAGACCGCAUGGUCUUGUUAUUAAAGAAUUUCGGUUAUCGAUGGGGAUGCGUUCCAUUAGGCAGUUGGUGAGGUAACGGCUCACCAAACCUUCGAUGGAUAGGGGUUCUGAGAGGAAGGUCCCCCACAUUGGAACUGAGACACGGUCCAAACUCCUACGGGAGGCAGCAGUGAGGAAUAUUGGUCAAUGGGCGCAGGCCUGAACCAGCCAAGUAGCGUGAAGGAUGACUGCCCUAUGGGUUGUAAACUUCUUUUAUAUGGGAAUAAAGUUUUCCACGUGUGGAAUUUUGUAUGUACCAUAUGAAUAAGGAUCGGCUAACUCCGUGCCAGCAGCCGCGGUAAUACGGAGGAUCCGAGCGUUAUCCGGAUUUAUUGGGUUUAAAGGGAGCGUAGGUGGACAGUUAAGUCAGUUGUGAAAGUUUGCGGCUCAACCGUAAAAUUGCAGUUGAUACUGGCUGUCUUGAGUACAGUAGAGGUGGGCGGAAUUCGUGGUGUAGCGGUGAAAUGCUUAGAUAUCACGAAGAACUCCGAUUGCGAAGGCAGCUCACUGGACUGCAACUGACACUGAUGCUCGAAAGUGUGGGUAUCAAACAGGAUUAGAUACCCUGGUAGUCCACACAGUAAACGAUGAAUACUCGC
rnacentral:rRNA from 1 species